rnacentral:rRNA from 1 species
UACGUAGGGGGCGAGCGUUAUCCAGAUUUACUGGGCGUAAAGCGCACGUAGGCGGCUUUGUAAGUUAGAGGUGAAAGCCCGGGGCUCAACUCCGGAAUUGCCUUUAAGACUGCAUCGCUAGAAUUGUGGAGAGGUAAGUGGAAUUCCGAGUGUAGAGGUGAAAUUCGUAGAUAUUCGGAAGAACACCAGUGGCGAAGGCGACUUACUGGACACAUAUUGACGCUGAGGUGCGAAAGCGUGGGGAGCAAACAGG